GAUGUGAUGGAAAGGUAGACAUGAUAGACUUAAAAUCUAUUGUAAUGUAAAUUACGUAAGGGUUCGAGUCCCUUCAUC
rnacentral:tRNA from 1 species